rnacentral:rRNA from 1 species
AAACUCCGUGAUAGCUGGUUCUCCCCGAAAUGCAUUUAGGUGCAGCGUCGCGUGUUUCUUGCCGGAGGUAGAGCACUGGAUGGUCUAGGGGGCCCACAAGCUUACCGAAAUCAGCCAAACUCCGAAUGCCGGUAAGUGAGAGCGCGGCAGUGAGACUGCGGGGGAUAAGCUUCGUAGUCGAGAGGGAAACAGCCCAGAUCACCAGCUAAGGCCCCUAAGCGUGUGCUAAGUGGAAAAGGAUGUGGGGUCGCAUAGACAACCAGGAGGUUGGCUUAGAAGCAGCCACCCUUUAAAGAGUGCGUAAUAGCUCACUGGUCAAGUGGUUCCGCGCCGACAAUGUAGCGGGGCUCAAGCACACCGCCGAAGCUGUGGCAUUCACACUUUAACUUCGUGUCUCCUUGAUGGGGCAUGCAGGUGUGUGGGUGGGUAGGGGAGCGUCGUGCCGGGGGUGAAGCAGCGGGGUGACCCAGUUGUGGACGCGGCACGAGUGAGAAUGCAGGCAUGAGUAGCGAAAGAAGGGUGAGAAACCCUUCCGCCGGAUGACCAAGGGUUCCAGGGCCAGGCUAAUCCGCCCUGGGUGAGUCGGGACCUAAGGCGAGGCCGAGAGGCGUAGUCGAUGGACAACGGGUUGAUAUUCCCGUACCCGCGAAAGAGCGUCCCUGAUGAACCUCGUUGUGCUAACCACCCAAACUGGCUGAGACUUUCGGGUUGAGGUUGGGGAGCGUGGGAACCUGGCGGGUAGUAGUCAAGCGAUGGGGUGACGCAGGAAGGUAGCUGAUCCCGGCCGGUGGUUGUGCCGGGGUAAGCGUGUAGGCCGGCGUGUAGGCAAAUCCGCACGCCACUAGGGCUGAGACGUGAUGCCGAGCCGAUUCAGGUGAAGUCAGUGAUCCUAUGCUGCCGAGAAAAGCCUCUAGCGAGUUCUGAGCGGCCCGUACCCCAAACCGACACAGGUGGUCAGGUAGAGAAUACCGAGGCGAUCGGGCGAACUGUGGUUAAGGAACUCGGCAAAUUGCCCCCGUAACUUAGGGAGAAGGGGGGCCGGAGACGUGAAGCCCCGCGCGGGUGGAGCGUUGUAUGGCCGCAGAGAGCAGGGGGAAGCGACUGUUUACUAAAAACACAGGUCCAUGCGAAGAAGUAAUUCGAUGUAUAUGGACUGACGCCUGCCCGGUGCUGGAACGUUAAGGGGACCUGUUAGCUCUUCGGGGCGAAGCGGAGAACUUAAGCGCCAGUAAACGGCGGUGGUAACUAUAACCAUCCUAAGGUAGCGAAAUUCCUUGUCGGGUAAGUUCCGACCUGCACGAAUGGCGUAACGACUUCCCCACUGUCUCAACCACAGGCCCGGCGAAAUUGCAGUACGAGUAAAGAUGCUCGUUACGCGCGGCAGGACGGAAAGACCCCGGGACCUUUACUAUAGCUUGACAUUGGUAUCUGAAUUAGCUUGUGUAGGAUAGGUGGGAGCCGGUGAAGUCCAUACGCCAGUAUGGGUGGAGGCAAUCUUGAAAUACCACUCUGGUUGAUUUGGGUAUCUAACUUCGGACCGUUAUCCGGUUCAGGGACAGUGUCUGGUGGGUAGUUUAACUGGGGCGGUUGCCUCCUAAAGGGUAACGGAGGCGCCCAAAGGUUCCCUCAGCCUGGUUGGCAAUCAGGUGUUGAGUGCAAGUGCACAAGGGAGCUUGACUGUGAGACUGACAGGUCGAGCAGGGACGAAAGUCGGGACUAGUGAUCCGGCACUGGCAUGUGGAAGCGGUGUCGCUCAACGGAUAAAAGGUACCCCGGGGAUAACAGGCUGAUCUUCCCCAAGAGUCCAUAUCGACGGGAUGGUUUGGCACCUCGAUGUCGGCUCGUCGCAUCCUGGGGCUGUAGCAGGUCCCAAGGGUUGGGCUGUUCGCCCAUUAAAGCGGUACGCGAGCUGGGUUUAGAACGUCGUGAGACAGUUCGGUCCCUAUCCGCCGUGCGCGUAGGAUACUUGAGAAGGGCUGUCCCUAGUACGAGAGGACCGGGACGGACGAACCUCUGGUGUGCCAGUUGUCCCGCCAGGGGCACGGCUGGUUAGCUACGUUCGGAAGGGAUAACCGCUGAAAGCAUCUAAGCGGGAAGCUCGCUUCAAGAUGAGGUAU